GAACCGUCCAAACGUUAUUCGGAAUUACUGGGCUUAAAGGGUGCGUAGGCGGCUUGGCAAGUUGGGUGUGAAAUCCCUCGGCUCAACCGGGGAACUGCGCUCAAAACUGCCAGGCUAGAGGAAGAUAGAGGUGAGCGGAACUAAUGGUGGAGCGGUGAAAUGCGUUGAUAUCAUUAGGAACACCUGUGGCGAAAGCGGCUCACUGGGUCUUUUCUGACGCUGAGGCACGAAAGCUAGGGUAGCGAACGGGGGAUUAGAUACCCCGGUAGUCCUAGCCGUAAACGAUGAGCACUAGGUUGGAGGCUCCCUUCAUAGGCUUCCCGACCGAAGCGAAAGUGUUAAGUGCUCCGCCUGGGGAGUAUGGUCGCAAGGCUG
rnacentral:rRNA from 1 species